rnacentral:tRNA from 1 species
GCGAGAGUGGCGGAACGGCAGACGCGCUAGGUUCAGGACCUAGUGCCCGCAAGGGUGUGUGGGUUCAAAUCCCUCCUCUCGCACCA